rnacentral:miRNA from 5 species
GGAUUGAGCCGCGUCAAUAUC